GAAUUUCUUAUUAACACCUGAGUUUACAAAAAAGAAAGUAACACUUUCCUAAGCUAUAUCUUUAAACUUACAUCCUGAAAUGAAAAGUUAAAUCAUUUUUACAUUCUAGAUGUUACAUAUCUAAAGUACCAAGAAAAUUCAUGCGACUUAUUGUUCCCUGGAAAUACUUCUUCCAGUAAUUUUCCUUUAACCUCUCUUUCCGAAACUGUAAACAAAAAAAAAAAAGCAAUCAUGCCAUGCUAAGCUGCUCGUCAUUUAUCUCUGUCAGAUAUUAUAUGAAGAUGCGCUAUAAUAAUGCCAUGCACAACUGUAUUUUUAUACCAGACAGUUUUUUCAAUACAGAAGAUGAAAAAGGAAAUAUUCCUUACUUUAAAAGUCCAUGUAUGACUAGACUCUGUCCUCAGAGUGCACUUUGUAUGAGACUGGUCAACUGCCAAAAGCAGAAAAAUUAUUCCAGCUAUCCAGAAUUCAAAUACCUUUUGCUCUGUUUGGUGCUAGUCAAGACUUGAAUCAAAAAUGUAAGAGAAAAAAAAUAAUCAAAUGUGGGGUUUUAAAGAGUGCUGAAUGCUGGUACUUCCUCAGUUUUUUUCAGAGAACUGUAGGUUAUCAACUAUGUACCCAGACAAACUUUGGAAAAAUGCAUUUUUCAAAAAGGUAGUCUGAAACUUUUGUUCGAAGAAUGUGACAUGCCUCUUGCCUGUGUAAACGGAUAUGAGAGAGUACACCUUCCAAACCUGCUCCAACCUGUAACAGUUAGGAAUAUUGUAUGAUGUAAUAGCACAGGUUUCCAAUGGAGAUGACUAGAAGAUGUGGAAGCAACUGUUAGAAUCCUUCUCAGAAAACACCAUGGAGCUGCCCAUGCUUGGACACCAAACUUCUUGGACACAUCUCUGCAGUCUUAAACUAACAUGGCCUUCACAUUACUUCUAACAGUCAUGGUAGAGGGAGGAAAAUUGUUGUCCUAAUACAAUUGAACUGAGAAAAAGCUGUGUAAUGAAAGUCAGCUACGGGGAAGAGACCAUCCAUCUCUUCAGCAACUGAAUACCUUUAGAUUCCUCCUUUGCCUGAGAGCUUUGGAAAAUAAACGGAAGUUGCUGUGACAAAA